GAGGCAGCCGGGAUCGUCGCUGCUGAUCAUUGUGAACAAGGCGCACACGCAAAUGACUGGAAAACUAGUGGGACUGCAAGUGAGACUUCUCAGCUCUUAAGCAAUAGCAAGGAAAAGGUUUCUGGAGCGGCAGGAUUAGUUCUUCAAACCUCCAUGACCGGGCAGCAGUGAAGCGAUUGCCCACAGGGAACUGUGUCAUUCCUUAUCCAUGAGCAGAGUCAUUGCUUUUCCUAACACAUGCAAGCACCUGCAGUCCCUAUUUGUACAGCUGUGUAUCCUUCAGGGGAGAAGAAUGCUCACCUAACCUGACCUUGUCAGGUGCCUGAACUGUGCUGCAGGCAUGAAUACAGGAACAGGUAAACAGCGGAGCCGUAAAAGUUUCUCUUUAGGCAUGUUUUCAACAAAAUGCCAUCAUACACUGCCUGAUGAUACACGCUGCUACUCAGGUGAAACAAAAUGGUGUGAGCAGUCAUGCUUUAAAGCUGCUACCCACCACUCAAUGCUGCAGCUGCCCAAGAAGCCUUCUCCUCCACUCACUCUCUAUCUUCCCUCCUUCUCCACAUCAUCUACAGCUUCUUUUACGGCGCUUAACUUUACAAAACACAGUUGUGAGGCUAAUCUUACAUGCAAUUACAGAUCAGUCUCAGUAUAUUUAUUGCAAACUCCUUGAACAUCAGGACAUUAAAGAAAAAAAAAGAAAAAAAAAGAAAAAUAUUCCAUUUCAUAAUUACAAGUAGGUUUUUUGUAGCAAAUGAACCAGAAGUGUAUUCAGAAAAAUAAUAAAUAAAAGCAAAGGCUAUUUGUAAACAGUUCAAACAAAACAUGAUGCUGCCUCCAAUGAAACAUUUCACUGCAUUGCUAGCUCUGUUUCAAAUGGGCAUGUAGGCAUCCUGUUGCAAGAGAGUGAAGCCAUGAACUGAAACUUUGGAGGAGUUAAUUUUCAAAUUUUGCACUUCCAGGGUCUGUGAAACAUGAAAAGUCUGCACACACAAUAGGAUCUGAGAGAGGUGUGGAAUCUCAACCAACAUUUCUAAAGAAAACUCAGUUAUUCCUUUUAAAACAAAAUAGUGGAAACAGCUGAGCCACACAAAAAACAAAGCACAAUUGGUUGGCUUCCAUGAGACCGCAAAAUGAGAAAAUAUUUAAUUCCUUGCAUAGCUAUUUAAAUGGCCAAUAAAUUUUGCUGGAAUCACCCAAACAUGACAACAUUGCAUUCCGCUGCUUAGAGACUUCACGCUGAAAAGCUGGGAUCUGCUGACGGGGCCGGAGCAUCACUCGGGGCACUGCAAAAAGCCGGGGCCAUCCCUGAUAGCUUUGCCAGCGUGGCUAUAGCAGGAGGUUUCAUCAACCAGCUACUCCCAGAUGGAGCAUGACUAUAGCAAAGCCUCUGCGCUUAUGUCACUGCCAGUUGUUAUCCCAGCUCUCUGUUCUCCCACAAGGGAUAAAAGCUGUUCUGACAAAAGGAUAUUUCUGGCAGUUUAUUUACACCCAACACGGAAGGUUUUCGCUGGCACAGCUACGCCGAUCACAAACCGUACCUCAAAGCUGAACCCUGGAUGAUGCAGCUGAGUCAGCAAGGGUUUGCAAUGUAGACCUAACCAGAGGGACGGAAAGCAGGAUUCAUCUCACUUAACUUUAAUCAGUAUGAAGGUAGACACUUAAGUCAGAGGCACCUCCGGAAGACAGUUCCUUUGAUCUCUCACCAGGUGAGAACUGAGCAUUUUUAUGUUAGAUGAGAUGAACCCUUUCCCAGGAGAGCUGAAGAGACAAAAUCCUUUCAGCCACCCUUUUCUGUCACCAGUUCUGGAGACCAUGCUUCAGAAGGCUGCUGUUCAAAUGCAUUAUCUUUACACAUGUCAAUGUACAUGAUAAUGAUAGUCUGUGCUGGGCUUCAUGCUGCCACAACUACAAAUGCAAGCUUAAAGCUAGCUCAGAUACUUCUGCACUAUUUAUAGACAUACCUUCAGGCAGAGUAUCCUUUAACACCUGUAAAGUUAAAUUGUCGGAGCAAAUCUGUAAUAUCUGCCCCUCUGCAAUAUGUUCAUGUUAACAUUGUCUUGUUCACAGCAGUUUUGGGUAACAGGUGUCCUAACACUGUCAUUCCCAACCAGAGGUGAGGCAGAAGUGUUUCUUCAGAGGAUGUGAAAACUGAGACGCUCAAGCAUGGCUGAAGAAGGUACGUAGUAAGAAAAAACAAGAUGAUGACAUUCCACAGUUAAAAGUUUAGUUUGAUUUCAGUAAAACAGUUUUAAUAAAGCUCCAUUAUACUGCAGAAUAGGAAACGGUGGCAGCCAGUGGAUAAGACACUAAAACACGACAAGGCAACAUACUUGGAGUUGUUCUGUAGAAAAUGUCCCACAAAAACUAAGCAGCCACAUGAGCCUUUCCCUCUUCUCCUGGUGGGAACCGAAGAAGGAGGAAUCUCUGCCCUUCUUCAGCUAUCCCAGAGCAUGCCUCAGCUAUAAAGACUUGGCCGUAUAAAGUAAUCGUGGUUCAUGUUACUUGUUUUCUGGUUCUGACUGUUUCAGCUGAAGAAAUUUUAUACAAUGGGAGCAAAAAUGAUGCAUUACAAAAAUUAAACUAAUAGACUGCUUAUGAGCCAGAACAUCUUGUAGGCUAGUCUGACUCAGGCAUUGAGUUUUGCUAAAGGCUUUUGCUUUAAGUGACCAGACAGUCCUAACAUGGAUCUGUUUUGCCCCCAAACCUGAAGGCAUAUUGUGGGGUUCCUAAAGUCCACUCCAUCGCAAUCAGUAUGACUGAAGGGUGUGUUCAGAUUUUUUCUGUUUGUUUGGUUGGGGUUUUUUUUUCUGGGUUUUCUUUGACAAUGACUUUGUGAAACUGUUGCUAGUUCAAACACAACUGAGUGUUACCUAACAGGCAGAAAACCAGAUUGAGCUAGUCAGCACUGUGCAAUUCUCAACCUUACUUUGUUUUCCUCUCCCAAACCAGCAUUUCUAGUUACAAUUUUCUUUUAUUUGUUCUUUAAAAUGCUCACUGUGACUUGGACAUAGGCAAAAUGUGCUGCUGCUUCUCCCUCACCAAUACUCUCUGGGAAGUGGUGAGAAAAGAAUAAUAGGAAAUUGCAUUCUUCUCUGUCUGUGCAUUUUCCCCUCCUUUCCAAUUUUCUCACAGGGAUUUAAUGUUCCUAAUGAAUUUUUAAGAACCCUGGAUUGAUGGAGUGGGGCAUUAAAACAAAAGGAACAGAAGUGUCCUGGCACUGUAUCUAGCAGGUGGACAGCAUACAAGUCAUACCUGAUUACCCAGAAAAGUCACUGGAAUGCCCUUAAAUCUACAGUCCAGGUGUGAUUAUGUGGCUCCUUGUGCCCACUGCUCAUGUUGAGUCACUUGAUUAAAUUUUGUAAUGUGGUUUUCUACCUAACAGUUGUGCUGUGUAUUUUGACCCAAUUUAUGGCAACCAGAAAGUGUUGUGUUUGGUGGAUUUAAAUGGGAAGCCUAAUGCUAAUUUUUUGUCCCAGCAUAUAUAAAGUAGACAAGUCAUUUUAUACCUUCACACUGCAAGACACAGUCUUACAAAGCUCUCCAGAACUCUCAUUUUAGAAAAAGAGCAGCAGCUAACUCUGAAGGAAACCCAAUCUCACAGCAAUCACUUCCCAGCCUCCAC